GAGGGAAACCGAGUCUUAAUUGGGCGUUAAGUUGCAGGGUAUAGACCCGAAACCCGGUGAUCUAGCCAUGGGCAGGUUGAAGGUUGGGUAACACUAACUGGAGGACCGAACCGACUAAUGUUGAAAAAUUAGCGGAUGACCUGUGGCUGGGGGUGAAAGGCCAAUCAAACCGGGAGAUAGCUGGUUCUCCCCGAAAGCUAUUUAGGUAGCGCCUCGUGAAUUCAUCUCCGGGGGUAGAGCACUGUUUCGGCUAGGGGGCCAUCCCGGCUUACCAACCCGAUGCAAACUGCGAAUACCGGAGAAUGUUAUCACGGGAGACACACGGCGGGUGCUAACGUCCGUCGUGAAGAGGGAAACAACCCAGACCGCCAGCUAAGGUCCCAAAGUCAUGGUUAAGUGGGAAACGAUGUGGGAAGGCCCAGACAGCCAGGAUGUUGGCUUAGAAGCAGCCAUCAUUUAAAGAAAGCGUAAUAGCUCACUGGUCGAGUCGGCCUGCGCGGAAGAUGUAACGGGGCUAAACCAUGCACCGAAGCUGCGGCAGCGACGCUGAUGCGUUGUUGGGUAGGGGAGCGUUCUGUAAGCCUGCGAAGGUGGCCUGUGAGGGUUGCUGGAGGUAUCAGAAGUGCGAAUGCUGACAUAAGUAACGAUAAAGCGGGUGAAAAGCCCGCUCGCCGGAAGACCAAGGGUUCCUGUCCAACGUUAAUCGGGGCAGGGUGAGUCGACCCCUAAGGCGAGGCCGAAAGGCGUAGUCGAUGGGAAACGGGUUAAUAUUCCCGUACUUGGUGUUACUGCGAAGGGGGGACGGAGAAGGCUAUGUUGGCCGGGCGACGGUUGUCCCGGUUUAAGCGUGUAGGUGUGUGUUCCAGGUAAAUCCGGUUCACUUUAACACUGAGGCGUGAUGACGAGGCACUACGGUGCUGAAGCAACAAAUGCCCUGCUUCCAGGAAAAGCCUCUAAGCAUCAGGUAACAUCAAAUCGUACCCCAAACCGACACAGGUGGUCAGGUAGAGAAUACCAAGGCGCUUGAGAGAACUCGGGUGAAGGAACUAGGCAAAAUGGUGCCGUAACUUCGGGAGAAGGCACGCUGACACGUAGGUGAAGUGAUUUACUCAUGGAGCUGAAGUCAGUCGAAGAUACCAGCUGGCUGCAACUGUUUAUUAAAAACACAGCACUGUGCAAACACGAAAGUGGACGUAUACGGUGUGACGCCUGCCCGGUGCCGGAAGGUUAAUUGAUGGGGUCAGCGCAAGCGAAGCUCCUGAUCGAAGCCCCGGUAAACGGCGGCCGUAACUAUAACGGUCCUAAGGUAGCGAAAUUCCUUGUCGGGUAAGUUCCGACCUGCACGAAUGGCGUAAUGAUGGCCAGGCUGUCUCCACCCGAGACUCAGUGAAAUUGAACUCGCUGUGAAGAUGCAGUGUACCCGCGGCAAGACGGAAAGACCCCGUGAACCUUUACUAUAGCUUGACACUGAACAUUGAGCCUUGAUGUGUAGGAUAGGUGGGAGGCUUUGAAGUGUGGACGCCAGUCUGCAUGGAGCCGGCCUUGAAAUACCACCCUUUAAUGUUUGAUGUUCUAACGUGGACCCGUGAUCCGGGUUGCGGACAGUGUCUGGUGGGUAGUUUGACUGGGGCGGUCUCCUCCUAAAGAGUAACGGAGGAGCACGAAGGUUGGCUAAUCCUGGUCGGACAUCAGGAGGUUAGUGCAAUGGCAUAAGCCAGCUUGACUGCGAGCGUGACGGCGCGAGCAGGUGCGAAAGCAGGUCAUAGUGAUCCGGUGGUUCUGAAUGGAAGGGCCAUCGCUCAACGGAUAAAAGGUACUCCGGGGAUAACAGGCUGAUACCGCCCAAGAGUUCAUAUCGACGGCGGUGUUUGGCACCUCGAUGUCGGCUCAUCACAUCCUGGGGCUGAAGUAGGUCCCAAGGGUAUGGCUGUUCGCCAUUUAAAGUGGUACGCGAGCUGGGUUUAGAACGUCGUGAGACAGUUCGGUCCCUAUCUGCCGUGGGCGCUGGAGAACUGAGGGGGGCUGCUCCUAGUACGAGAGGACCGGAGUGGACGCAUCACUGGUGUUCGGGUUGUCAUGCCAAUGGCACUGCCCGGUAGCUAAAUGCGGAAGAGAUAAGUGCUGAAAGCAUCUAAGCACGAAACUUGCCCCGAGAUGAGUUCUCCCUGAGACUUAGAGUCUCCUGAAGGAACGUUGAAGACGACGACGUUGAUAGGCCGGGUGUGUAAGCGCAGCGAUGCGUUGAGCUAACCGGUACUAAUGAACCGUGAGGCUUAACCUU
rnacentral:rRNA from 1 species